rnacentral:rRNA from 1 species
AGAGUUUGAUCCUGGCUCAGGAUGAACGCUAGCUACAGGCUUAACACAUGCAAGUCGAGGGGAAACGACAUCGAAAGCUUGCUUUUGAUGGGCGUCGACCGGCGCACGGGUGAGUAACGCGUAUCCAACCUGCCCAUCACUUGGGGAUAACCUUGCGAAAGUAAGACUAAUACCCAAUGAUAUCUCUAGAAGGCAUCUGAAAAGAGAUUAAAGAUUUAUCGGUGAUGGAUGGGGAUGCGUCUGAUUAGCUUGUUGGCGGGGUAACGGCCACCAAAAGCAACGAUCAGUAGGGGUUCUGAGAGGAAGGUCCCCACAUUGGAACUGAGACACGGUACCAAACUCCUACGGGAGGCGA